rnacentral:rRNA from 1 species
GACGAACGCUGGCGGCGUGCUUAACACAUGCAAGUCGAACGGACAGACAGAGAGCUUGCUCUCUUGAAGUUAGUGGCGAACGGGUGAGUAACGCGUAAUCAACCUGCCCUUCAGAGGGGGAUAACAACGGGAAACCGUUGCUAAUACCGCGUACGAUUCAUGAACGGCAUCGUUUAUGAAUGAAAGGUGGCCUCUAUGUAUAAGCUAUCGCUGAAGGAGGGGAGUUCGUCUGAUUAGCUAGUUGGAGGGGUAACGGCCCACCAAGGCAAUGAUCAGUAGCCGGUCUGAGAGGAUGAACGGCCACAUUGGGACUGAGACACGGCCCAAACUCCUACGGGAGGCAGCAGUGGGGAAUCUUCCGCAAUGGACGAAAGUCUGACGGAGCAACGCCGCGUGAGUGAUGAAGGUCUUCGGAUUGUAAAGCUCUGUUAAUCGGGACGAAAGAGUUCUGCGUGAAUAAUGCAGAAAAGUGACGGUACCGGAAUAGAAAGCCACGGCUAACUACGUGCCAGCCGCCGCAGUAA